rnacentral:tRNA from 1 species
GGGGGUGUGGCUCAGUGGUAGAGCAUUUACCUAGAAGGUUCGAGACUCUUGAGUUCAAUUCCCAACAUUGCUU